rnacentral:lncRNA from 1 species
GCUCUUUUAAUAAAGCCCUGAUGAAUCCAGCCCAUGUAGCAGUGAUUCAUGUCAGUGGAUUUUUUUUUUUUUUUUGUCUUCACAAAAGCCUCACUCGGGCAAAUGGAACAGUGAUAAACGCUCCAGAACGCUGAUGUACGGAUCACACUCCUCCUCUCCUACAGAUAUAGACGAGUGCACGAACCCCUCCGCCUGUCCCAAUGCCAAGUUUGAGUGCGUCAACACUCCAGGCUCAGUCCGCUGUUCCUGUCGGUACAAGAACAUUAAGGAAUCGGACGGCUGCGGUGAUUCGGACAAUCCCCCAGGGUGGAACAUCUUUAACGUUUCUGUGGAGUGGAGCACUCAAGGAAGUGGAAUGAGCGAACUGCAGAAGCUACAGCAGAUCCUGUCCAUGGGCUUUCAGAACAAGUUCUACAACGCCAGUGUGACAUGGACAGGCCAGGGCGGACAGACAUCUAGUGAAUAUCGCAUCAACGUGUCCAGCGACACCCCGCACUGGUACGUGCAGGACUACCUCACCCGUGUCAGCCAGCAUUAUGGUAUCAAGUCCACCGAUGUGGGAGGUACGCUCUCCAAAACUACUUCACAUGUAUGUCUGAGGAAGCUUCUUGACCAAGGCAUCUUAGACACAGAGACUGCCUGUCCUCCUCAGACCUGGACGAGUGUACGACGAAGGAGGCUGUGUGUCACAAGGCAGCAACGUGUGCCAACACCUAUGGAGGGUACAGGUGUGUUUGCAAUGGCACCACGGAUGUGGACGAAAUCCAGUCCUGCAUUUUAGGUGAGGGG